GGGAUAGAAUUCCAGGAGUAGCGGUGAAAUGCGUAGAUAUCUGGAGGAAUACCAAAGGCGAAGGCAGUCCCCUGGUCCAAUACUGACACUGAGGUACGAAAGCGUGGGGAGCAAACAGGAUUAGAUACCCUGGUAGUCCACGCCCUAAACGAUGUCGAUUAGCCAUUGGAAGGACCCCUUUUCCUUUCAGUGACGUAGCUAACGCGUUAAAUCGACCGCCUGGGAAGUACGACCGCAGGGUUAAAACUCAAAGGAAUUGACGGGGACCUGAACAAGCGGUGAAUGAUGUGGAUUAAUUCGAUGCUACGCGAAGAACCUUACCUACCUUUGACAUGGCCAAAGUUCUACCGAGAGGCGGAAGUACUCGUAAGAGGAUUGGCGCACAGGUGCUGCAUGGUUGUCGUCAGUUCGUGUCGUGAGAUGUUGGGUUCAGUCCCGCAACGAACGCAACCCUUAUCUUUAAUUGCUCCUAUUUUAACAGGCACUUUAAAGAAACUGCCAAUGAUAAGUUGGAGGAAGGUGGGGAUCACGUCAAGUCCGCAUGGCCUUUAUAGGUAGGGCUUCACACGUCAUACAAUGGUUAGAACAAAGAGCUGCAAAUUCGUAAGAAGGAGCCAAUCUCACAAACCUAACCUCAGUUCGAAUUGCGGUCUGCAACUCGAGCGCAUGAAGCCGGAAUCGCUAGUAAUCGUGGAUCAGAAUGCCACGGUGAAUACGUUCUUAGGUCUU
rnacentral:rRNA from 1 species